rnacentral:tRNA from 1 species
GAUCUGGUGGCUCAGAGGGUAAAGCGUCUGCCUGCAAUGCUGGAGGCCUGGGUUUGAUCCCUGGAUCA